rnacentral:rRNA from 1 species
GUGGGGAAUAUUGGACAAUGGGCGCAAGCCUGAUCCAGCCACGCCGCGUGUGUGAUGAAGGUCUUCGGAUCGUAAAGCACUGUGGAGAGGGAAGAAAAGCAGUAGGCUAAUACCCUGCUGUCCUGACGGUACCUCUUUAGCAAGCACCGGCUAACUCCGUGCCAGCAGCCGCGGUAAUACGGAGGGUGCAAACGUUGCUCGGAAUUACUGGGCGUAAAGCGCGUGUAGGCGGCCACUCAAGUCGAGUGUGAAAGCCCUGGGCUUAACCCAGGAAGUGCGCUCGAAACUGCCUGGCUCGAGUACGGGAGAGGGUAGCGGAAUUCCCGGUGUAGAGGUGAAAUUCGUAGAUAUCGGGAGGAACACCAGUGGCGAAGGCGGCUACCUGGACCGAUACUGACGCUGAGACGCGAAAGCGUGGGUAGCAAACAGGAUUAGAUACCCUGGUAGUCC